CUUCCUUUUUGGGCUGUUCUGCAAGCCUUGGUCCUUAAGACAGCAGGGAAUGCAAUACCAUGUUCCUGAUGGAAAAUUCCUUUCCUGUGUGGAAUGUAUAAUUUGAUGCUGCUCUUUCUUGGAGUUCUUGGUGCUUUCAAUUUAAAACCCAUCGGUCAAAAGGAUGCAUGUCUUGUAUGGAAUGGCCUCUCACUUCCUAGUGGGGAAGUUGUCUUGUGGCACAGCAUGGUGUUUCUUCAGGUCAUCAUAGGAAGAGAAGAGCUAAGGUUGCUUCUUGCAUUGAGUUGAGCUGGAGUGUUACUUUCUUGGCCUGCUGAAGGAUUCUUA